rnacentral:misc_RNA from 1 species
UCCGCUUUACAGCGGCAGUCUCGCUAGAGUCCUCGACAUUACUCGUUAGCAACUAGCGACAGGGGUUGCGCUCGUUAAUGGACUUAACCAGACACUUCACAGCACGAGCUGACGACAGCCAUGCAGCACCUGUGCACGUUGUACCCUUGCGGGCCUCAUUCCUGUUUCCAAGAACUAAUCCGUGCAUGUCAAACCCAGGUAAGGUUCUUCGCGUUGCUUCGAAUUAAGCAACAUGCUCCACCGCUUGUGUGAGCCCCCGUCAAUUUCUUUGAGUUUUAGCCUUGCGACCGUACUUCCCAGGCGGCACACUUAUCAAUUUCUCUACACCAAAUAUGCAUCGUUUAGGGCGUGGACUAC